UGCCCCCUGGCCCAGUUGGUUAAGGCGCACGACUGUUAAUUCAAGUCCGCAAUCGUGAGAUCGAGAGUUCGAGCCUCUCGGGGGCAG